rnacentral:rRNA from 1 species
UACAGAGGUCCCAAGCGUUGUUCGGAUUCACUGGGCGUAAAGGGUGCGUAGGCGGUCGGGUAAGUCUGGCGUGAAAUCUCCAAGCCUAACUUGGAAACUGCGUUGGAUACUAUCCGGCUCGAGGAAUGGAGGGGAGACUGGAAUACUUGGUGUAGCAGUGAAAUGCGUAGAUAUCAAGUGGAACACCAGUGGCGAAGGCGAGUCUCUGGACAUUUCCUGACGCUGAUGCGCGAAAGCCAGGGGAGCAAACGGG